CCCUUAGAUGUCCUGGGCCGCACGCGCGCUACACUGAUGCAUGCAACGAGUUUAUAACCUUGGCCUGAAGGGUCUGGGUAAUCUUUUGAACGUGCAUCGUGAUAGGGAUAGAUUAUUGCAAUUGUUAAUCUUGAACGAGGAAUUCCUAGUAAACGCGAGUCAUCAGCUCGCAUUGAUUACGUCCCUGCCCUUUGUACACACCGCCCGUCGCACCUACCGAUUGAAUGGUUCGGUGAAGAUCUCGGACUUCGAUAUUUAUUCUUUAUUGAGUUUAUAUUGUGGGAAGUUAUCUAAACCUUAUCAUUUAGAGGAAGGAGAAGUCGUAACA
rnacentral:rRNA from 1 species